CUUGAGCGAGCCCAGCAGCAGCGGCUCCUCGCGGUCCUGCCCGUAGGUCGCGAGCAGCGCCUGCGCCUC
rnacentral:antisense_RNA from 1 species